rnacentral:rRNA from 1 species
GUUCGAUCGCUACUGAUGAGCCUAUGUUAGAUUAGCUAGUUGGUAGGGUAAUGGCCUACCAAGGCGAUGAUCUAUAGCUGGUCUGAGAGGAUGAUCAGCCACACUGGAACUGAGAUACGGUCCAGACUCCUACGGGAGGCAGCAGUGGGGAAUAUUGGACAAUGGGCGCAAGCCUGAUCCAGCUAUGCCGCGUGAGUGAGGAAGGCCUUAGGGUUGUAAAACUCUUUCAGUAGGGAAGAUAAUGACGGUAC